UACAGAGGGGGCAAGCGUUGUUCGGAAUUACUGGGCGUAAAGGGCGCGUAGGCGGCCCGCUAAGUCGAACGUGAAAUCCCCCGAGCUCAACUCGGGAACUGCGUCCGAUACUGGUGGGCUUGAAUCCGGGAGAGGGAUGCGGAAGUUCCAGGUGUAGCGGUGAAAUGCGUAGAUAUCUGGAGGAACACCGGUGGCGAAAGGCGGCCU
rnacentral:rRNA from 1 species